AACGCAUCUUGCGCUCCUUGGUAUUCCGAGGAGCAUGCCUGUUUGAGUGUCAUUAAUAUAUCAACCCUCUUCACGUUUUGCAUGUCGAGUGUUGGAUGUGGGAGUUUUUUGCUGGACUCUCUUGAGAGGUCAGCUCUCCUAAAAUACAUUAGCAAAACAAUUUGUUUACUGCUCAUUGGUGUGAUAACUAUCUACGCUAUUGACGGUAAAGCACGGUUUAGCUUCUAACAGUCCAUUGGCUUGGACAAUCUUUUAUCAAUGUGACCUCAAAUCAGGUAGGAUUACCCGCUGAACUUAA
rnacentral:misc_RNA from 2 species